AGCUUUGCAGAGUGGCAGUAUAGCAGUCAGUGAGGUUUAUCUGGGGCAUAAUUACAGCUAAUUGAAAACUUUCCCCAAUACCCUGCCAUGACUCCUUGAAAUAUAGUUGGCAUUAGCAAUUCUAUAUCUCUCUACAGA